UAGCCUAGUGGUGAAGGCUAUGGAUCGCCAAUCCGGAGACGGCGGGUUUGAUUCCCGU
rnacentral:tRNA from 1 species